CUGCCUUCAGCUGCUCCACUGAGAUUCACAAACCCAUCUUUCUCAGCACAUGGACGAAGACCCGGGAGGGGGGACCCCUGCCUUUUAAAACUCAGAGAAUCCAGUUUGAUUUCUGAAUCCACGUCCUUCUUUGGAAACAGUCCUGGACCACAAAGGCUUCAGAGGUUCUGAAGUGAAAGUGAUGGAGCUGUAAAGGGUAAUGGCUAUGCCAUAUACUACAAACAGUCUACAUAAGGUUCAUAGUCAGGCAGUAUGUCAAGAACACAGCUAAAGAUUGAUUUUCUUUUUUUAUUAGAACUUAUGUUUAAUGGAUGCCCCAUUGUGUUAACUGAUGUCAAAUUCAGGCUUGUGACUUUAUAAGCUAUGUGGUAGCCUUUAAGCAGAAAUGUAAUAUGGAUGCAAUUAUUUAGCUUGAGUGUUAUAACAUAUGUUAUAAAGCUAAUAAGCGUUUUUUUUGUUGUUGUUGUUUUUUGUUUGAUGCAGCACAAAUUAGAUGUGAUUUUCAUUACAGAACAGACUCAAAUAAUCUAGAAUGUAUAGAUAGAUAGUAGUUUAAGGUGCACAUGUUUUGCAAAGGGAGUUAUUCAAAUAACAUUUUUUUCAGAAAAGUGGCAGAUGCUGUGGAUUUAAUUAAUUUAAUUAAUAAUAAAAUUCCUUAUUUGGUAGAGAGGCAACCAGAACCAGAGGCAAUGUUUUUUUUAAUUUCACAAACAGUGACAAACACAGUACAGUCUGACAGAAAGGUGGGGUUGGGAUGGGGAGGGGUUCAGGGAAACAGUAAAUGCAGAGGAUUUCUGAAACACGCUGUGGACAGAAAUCUGAGCUGACAUGGUAAUGGCAUUUUUACCCAACUCUGUGCACAAGAGUGCCCAACCUUAUCAAAUAACAUCCAGCAUCUAUAGCAAACCUAAAUGAUAAGAUAAAACGAGCACAGGUGUACAGUACUGCUGUAUGGAAGACAUUCUCGAAGUAUUAGGGUGUGCGCACACAACAGUAAAACACCUUCAUAAACACAAGAGCAAAUAAUUGUGCAUUGGCUUCUAAAGUAUAUUUCCCUGAGCAAAAGGCUCAAACAGCAUAGAAAAUAAAGUCAUUUUCACUCAACCUUCACUCUGAAGUUUUCUCAGAGGCCAUAGUCACUUGGAGACUAACAUCAGAACUGUGCUGCUGUGUCGCAAAUCUUAAAAAUUAGAAGGCAAAACAAAUGCACAAACAGGGGACACCUUACAAAGAUGUCAGUAUGUUGCAAAACUGUCUAUCCAAGUCAAGGCUUCAAUAUAGGCCAUCUAAAGUAGGUAGCACAAAUUAUCUGUACUUUUAAUUACACAGAGAACAAUAUUCACCUUCAUCAAAGGCAUUCAACCAAACCAUCGCAGCUCCCUGCAUCAGUUGGCAAUAGUGUGGUGCACACCUCCCUUUAGCUAUGUCAUAUGUAGUGCAUUGUCACAAUCAGGUAAUAGUUAACGGCAUUUCAGUCGAUUAAUAAAGCGAGAAUAUGAUAAAGGCUCAUUUCGCCCACAGCAGCUUGCAGCGGUGGUAUGAAGCCAUUCGCUCUUAACUUCCUGCUGAGAGUGCAAUACAACAAAAGUGAGUGACAUUUUAACCUGUGGUGACGACAUUCAAAAACAUUUUUAUUUCCCCAAAUAUUUCCACAGAAGAUGCAAAGAAAAUUUGCAUAAAAAUGAUCAUUUGAGAACUACAGUUUGUAUACUUGUUCUUACUCAUUAGAUGAAACAUGCCUCGUUCAGUGCAAAGAAAUCAGUGCCUGAGCAGCCCUGAUCACAAGACCUGGCAAGGUGUUGGUUAGUAAAGCCAACAAAUUCUUGCCAGCUCUUCUCCUUUGCAGAUUAAGUUCAGUCACUAGAUAGGAGGUACUGUUAGAGUAUGACAAAAUAAUACCAAUGCAAAGCAUCUUUUGUUCAAGUGAAAUGAAUGAGAGCAGCGAGACGUGCCUUAAAAAACUGAAACAGGUCUUGUUUUUUAUAAUAUCCACGACACGCCCGAAAACGUAUCAGUUUUUAACAAGUGAAAUAUUUUUUAAUAACUUCUGGUAAGAAGAUAAAUAACUUUGGGCAAUUUAUAGAAUCUCUUCAAAUGACUUACAUUGCUUUUUUUUUUUUAACAUGUAUAA